CGACUUUCGAACGCAUAUUGCAGCCUUGGUCACACCUUGGCUUCGUUUGUCUGAGCGUCGUUAAUAAGCCAAAAACUAUCAAAAGGUCCGUAACCAAUAUCGUGUUCAUCUCUCGUCAUGAACUCGUCGGGCCAAUUUAAACACUUACAAAAAUGCCUUUGUCAUCUUUGAAAUGCCCAUACGUGCGUAAAGACGGUUUCAUACUGGUUUUGCGUGAUUAGAUUUCGGUCUAAUAUGUAGGGUUUUUGGCAAUACAUGCCAAAAUGCCUGAGCAAUAACCACUCAAAGUAUGUUGUCUUUACAUUUAGUCACGAUUGGUCUGUCAUUUUCAUUAGUUGAUCCAAGUGCAAUAGUGUUUCAAUUUUUUGAUACAUCAACCUUUAUUGGUUGUUAGUAACUUGUUAACCUUCGACCUCAGAUCAAGCGAGAUUACCCCCUGAAUUUAAGC
rnacentral:rRNA from 1 species